rnacentral:lncRNA from 1 species
CCAUAUUGAAGGACCAAGACAACUUGUGAUAGUCUUCAGCAUAGGAAGAUCAUUGAGAUCUCUAGUUUGGGCAUCCAGCCGAUCGACAUAGAGGAAAAUAUCAGGGGGGUUCUUCUUAGUCAACUUCUUUACUGAAGACAAGACACUGCGAUUGAAACCCUGUUCCAUCGCAGAGGACUUGAGGCCAGGUGUAUCAAAUACCCGAAUCUUAACACCAUCUACAACACCACUGAUCUCUUUCACACUGGUGGUAGCAGGUCCAAAGGCAUCAAUUGAUGUUUUUUCCUCUCCAAAGAUAGAGUUUAUGGUAGCACUCUUACCCACCCCAGAUUUGCCAAUAACCAGGAUAUUCACGGAGAAGUCCAAAUCAUCUUUCCCCUCUGCUUCAAGCUGGAAAGCUUUCAUCUUGGCAGCCUCAGUGCUAAAAAGUGGACUGUUUUGCCUUCGUGCAAUAAGUGUCAUCCGGUACAAAACUUGUGCAGCUAUGGGCUCAUCAGAAGAAAGACCCAACCUGUGAAUAAGCCUCAAAAACUUGACCCUAAUCUGCUGUAGUGUCUCCAGUUUCUUUUUCUCUUCUUCACUCAAGUUGUUCUCAGAUUCUCCACUGUUCUGAAGACUGGAAUGAGUAAAAAGAUUGGGUUGGCUUGGUCGGGGAGCUGGCCUCAGUGACCGGAGUGAUGACCCAAGACCAGCAGGACGUUCAACAGAGAAUAGUCUUGAUCCAUCUUGAGACGUGAUUGUUAUGUUGCCACCAUCAGAAUCACCACCUGUUGCUGCUUUUAAAAGAGCAGCUAAGGCAGCUGAAUCAAACAACUCCUUCCCAUCUCCUUCUUCAUCAGUAUCAGCCUCCUCAUCUGAGUCAGUGACAAUCUGACCAUCAAUAUCCUGCGAAACCUCAGCACCAGCAUAAGAGCCACCACCAGAUUCCCUUUCCAGCUCCUCCAUAAACUGUUUAGCAGCUUCAGAGCUUCCAAAAAUCAUACCAUCUGUCUCUCCAUCUGAAACUGAGCCUUCAAGGUCAGCUUCUUCAUCUAUAUGAUCUUUAGCUUCUCCUUCUUGCUCUGAGCCAGUGAUUGACCUUGAUAUGGCAGAUGUUUGACCAGAGACUUCAACUUCCACUACAUCUCCCUCGAUGCUUUCUCCGGAAUGGUCACCAUUGGCAUAUAUAGUUCCAGACACAGCCUGCUCAGGUUCCACUUCAACAUCCUUGGUGUCCAGCCUUUUAUUAACAGUUUCAGGAUCAGCUUCUUUAAUUUCCUCAGUAACAGCUACCACAUCACUAGUCUGAACAUCUCCAGAAUCUAGUUUUCCAGCACCAACAAUGUUAUCCACAGGAUUUGAUUCUGCAGCUGCAACAGUAUCAUCCACCACAGGCUUAGGGUCUUGUGCAUCUACUUCAUCAACUGUCAUAUUAACCACUUCUUCAAUAAGUUGUCUGGUCUCACCAACAUCAUUUACUGAUGUCACAUUCUCAUCAGUAGUACCUUCAAUAUGUUCUUCCACUUCCUUGCUCUCUUCCACAUCUCCAACAACAGCAACCCCUGGCCCUGAGACAUUGACUUCAAUGGCAUCCACAACUGCAUCUCCUUCGGAAGUAAAUUUCUCACCAUCUGUUUCAGCCAACAAAGAUUCUGACGGUUGUUCAACAACCACCUUAUUGAGUUUUUCGGCAUCAUCACUAUGUAUAGCUCUCUCUUCAAUGACCGAGGUAGGUUCCUCGGCCUCCUUCAAAUUGGAUGAAGCAAUAGCACUCUCUUCAAUGACCGAGGUAGGUUCCUCAACCUCCUUCAAAUUGGAUGAAGCAAUAGCACUCUCUUCAAUGACCGAGGUAGGUUCCUCAACCUCCUUCAAAUUGGAUGAAGCAAUAGCACUCUCUUCAAUGACCGAGGUAGGUUCCUCAACCUCCUUCAAAUUGGAUGAAGCAAUAGCACUCUCUUCAAUGACCGAGGUAGGUUCCUCAACCUCCUUCAAAUAGGUUCCUCGGCCUCCUUCAAAUUGGAUGAAGCAAUAGCACUCUCUUCAAUGACCGAGGUAGGUUCCUCAACCUCCUUCAAAUUGGAUGAAGCAAUAGCACUCUCUUCAAUGACCGAGGUAGGUUCCUCAGCCUCCUUCAAAUUAGAUGAAGCAACACUAGUUAAAGCUUCAUUCUUUUCAUCCUCCACAAUCUCCUUCACCUCCUCCUGAAUGGACCUAUCCUCACCCCCUUGCAAUUCCAUCUUUUCAUCCUCCACAGUCUCCUUCAC